GAUUUGACUUGGGUUUAGACUGUUGUGAUGAAAUUGUUAGGAGAAAAUUUACUAUGUAACACUUAUAUUAUAUCAUAUUAACUAGCCAGUCAUAUUUUUUUACUUGAGAUAAAAAUAUAAUAAAAAUAUUUUUUAGUAAUGAGUGUGAGCCUAAAAAAAAAAUUAAAUUUAUUAAGAACGUCACAUCAGUAAUAUAACUGAUACAUUCUAGAUUUUUUCAAUUGUUCGACCAGGU
rnacentral:lncRNA from 1 species